rnacentral:misc_RNA from 1 species
GAUGAAGAACGUAGCGAAAUGCGAUAAGUAAUGUGAAUUGCAGAAUUCAGUGAAUCAUCGAAUCUUUGAACGCACAUUGCGCCCCCUGGUAUUCCGGGGGGCACGCCUGUUCGAGCGUCAUUUCAACCCUCAAGCCCCCGGCUUGACGUUGGGCGCGGCCCCCCCUCGGGGGGGCCCGCCUGAAACCCCUCGGCGUCGCCGUCCGUCCCAGAGCGCAGCGAGUUCUGCCCGCGCUACUGGACCGGGCCGCUGGCUGCCGGCGAACCCAUUUUCUCAAGGUUGACCUCGGAUCAGGUAGGGAUACCCGCUGAACUUAAGCAUAUCAAUAAGCGGAGGA